CCGUGCUAGAUGGGGAAUUAGCGGUGCCCUGUAACCUGCAACCCGCUACAGCAGGGUCGAAUUCCUGAGCUGAGGGCUUACUUUGUGGGGUCUGGCUCGAGUAAGUGGCGUUGAAGUUUGGGUCCGGCGCAACAGGACAUUCUGAACCGUGUCAGGUCCGGAAGGAAGCAGCACUAAAGAAUCCAUCCUGUGUGACGCAGGGUAGCCUGAAUGGAGCAAACUGCUGGAGUAUCGCCCGGAAAGUAUUUUCGAGGCCAGGUGCACGG
rnacentral:SRP_RNA from 2 species